rnacentral:rRNA from 1 species
UGGGGAAUUUUGGACAAUGGGCGAAAGCCUGAUCCAGCAAUGCCGCGUGUGUGAAGAAGGCCUUCGGGUUGUAAAGCACUUUUGUCCGGAAAGAAAUCCUUGGCUCUAAUACAGUCGGGGGAUGACGGUACCGGAAGAAUAAGCACCGGCUAACUACGUGCCAGCAGCCGCGGUAAUACGUAGGGUGCAAGCGUUAAUCGGAAUUACUGGGCGUAAAGCGUGCGCAGGCGGUUUGCUAAGACCGAUGUGAAAUCCCCGGGCUAACCUGGGAACUGCAUUGGUGACUGGCAGGCUAGAGUAUGGCAGAGGGGGGUAGAAUUCCACGUGUAGCAGUGAAAUGCGUAGAGAUGUGGAGGAAUACCGAUGGCGAAGGCAGCCCCCUGGGCCAAUACUGACGCUCAUGCACGAAAGCGUGGGGAGCAAACAGGAUUAGAUACCCUGGUAGUCCACGCCCUAAACGAUGUCAACUAGUUGUUGGGGAUUCAUUUCCUUAGUAACGAGCUAACGCGUGAAGUUGACCGCCUGGGGAGUACGGUCGCAAGAUUAAAACUCAAAGGAAUUGACGGGGUCAUAGCUGUUUCCU